rnacentral:rRNA from 1 species
UACGUAGGGUGCGAGCGUUGUCCGGAUUUAUUGGGCGUAAAGAGCUCGUAGGCGGCUUGUCGCGUCGGAUGUGAAAGCCCGGGGCUUAACUCCGGGUCUGCAUUCGAUACGGGCAGGCUAGAGUGUGGUAGGGGAGAUCGGAAUUCCUGGUGUAGCGGUGAAAUGCGCAGAUAUCAGGAGGAACACCGGUGGCGAAGGCGGGUCUCUGGGCCGAUACUGACGCUGAGGAGCGAAAGCGUGGGGAGCGAACAGG